CCGUCCUCCCUGCCCGUUCUGUCCUUGUCGCCGACUUGCGUGUGCCUUGCAACUUCCGAGCCGGAAACUUCCUGGCCGGCCAAGGAGCAGGGCACCCCCUCCGGCUAGAGAAGGCGUCCGGAAUAGGAUUCCUCCGCGG
ensembl:miRNA Mir8120 microRNA 8120